CAGAGUUUGUCUGAGACCGUGAGGCCGGCUUUAUAUCAUGACUUUUAUUAAAACAGAUGAAUGAACGAAUAGAGAAUGAGAAGACAAGAACUUCAGUUUCGUUGACGGAUAUGACUAAUUUUGACACCGCCUGUAGAGACUCAGUACUGUGUUGUUGUUGUUGUUGUUGUUGUUGUUGUUGUUGUUGUUGUUGUUGUUGUGAGUGCUGCACAGUCGCAUGCAUGUGUGUGAGAGUGUGUUUGUCUUAACAUAUGUAUCUCUUUAUCAGUAUUACAUUAUUUAUAUGCCGCAUCCCCGUAACCGAGCUUAAAAUACAUUACACACAUUGAGUUUAGUUUGGAAAGAUUAACUGAUGAUUUAAAGAUUUACUGUUGUUGUUGUUGUUAGUAAUAGUAUCACAACAAAUCUCUGGGGCUUUUUUUUUUUUUUUUUCAUUUCCCUUUCGUUCAUAUCACUUUCAUCCUUAUCUUCCUGCGCUUAAUGUAUCUUCUCAUGUUCUAAUUUUAUUUCCUCUAUCGUCUCUCAUUUUCGACAACAUUCAUCAACUGUCAUUUUCCUUCCUACCCUCCUCCCAACCCACUCCCUCCCCCCGUCUCUCCUCGCUUCAUGUUUCUGUUUUACUGCACUUUAUCUCGGCGUCGUUGUCUCGAAGGCAACUGAGAGUAGUCUGCCCCUAAGCCAAGAAGAGCUUCUGGAGAGAAAAGAGCAUUAAACCAUUUCCGCUGGGUCCCCGCCCAGACUCGAACCCUGGAGAAGGUUGUUUGGGCAACAAGUUCUUAUUUCAGCCCCAGCUCUGCCUACAAGCUGAGUCUUGAGCUCGCCAUACUGCCAAUCGUAAAGUUGCCACCUGCUGCUGAAAAUCUUUUCACCCCAGCAAAUGACUUUAUGGUCGUCGUUACGCCGCCAUCGAGGAGUAGGGCACGACGCAUGCGCAGUUUACGAUCGAGACAAGGUGGCGCUGGUGACGGCGGACAGCAGCACCUGCAGAUCAAGUGCCAGUGCGGCAUUAUCCAAGAGACGAAAGUGUAAAUAGACACAAGACCUCGACCUGGAAGCAGGUGUAAAGCUAUGACCAGCUCCACUUUCUCUCUCUUUGCCUUCUCCGAGGACCUUCCCUGUGCCGUGUCUGUCCAGGUGACAGAGUUGCUCUCCCUUUGAACAAACACACGGAGAGCCAGUCUGUCAUUCUGUCGUGAGGACAGAUGCUAGUCAACACCACUCCAGCAGGGUACAGCCCCACCAACGCCGCGGGACCCUGCUAAUGGCAAAUGUUUUCGCGUAAACUUUGAGUUUAUCUAAACGGAAAUGUCUUCAAACAGAUGACAGAUGAUGGACAAAGGCGAAUAAUCCCUCUAAGAAAAGGGAAAGAACUCAGCAGUCGCUCAACGAUUUGAGAUUUUCUCGAGUGGGGGAGGACGAGGGGUACCCAUCUAGCCUAACACCGAUUGCCCACAGUCUUGAGUCGGGUGUCCACCCGUUAAUGUGCUGCAUUCGGAAAAGACUGGGUGAUUUAUAUAUUUGGCCAUCAGACUUACUGUUUCCAGAGUAGGUAAUGAUACCACAUUACAAUAUAAUGUGUGAUAAAGAGCAGGUAACUUUCUAAUAAUAUACACGUGUAUCUAAAUAUUAAGAUCGAUUCCUAUCUACCACACAUUUCAUCUAACCACUAAGGACAAGUAUAAAGAUAAGUUUUCACAAUUUUUUUUAUUACGUUAGUUGCGGGAUAAGUUGAAAGAAGUCACUGAAGUGUACAACUCGCUUGAAAUAUUUCUAACCCAGAGCUUCACAGCACAGUGCAAUAAAAAUAAUACAGUAAAA